rnacentral:sRNA from 1 species
GCUAUGGUAUAUGCCUGUAAUCUCAGUUACUCAGGAGGCUGAGACAGGAAGAUUGGUUGAGCCCAGGAGUUCAGGCCCAACCUGGGCAACAUAGUGAGACCUUGUCUCUG